UGCAAGUCGACGAAGUCUUCGGACUUAGUGGCGCACGGGUGAGUAACACGUGGGAAUAUACCUCUCAGUGGGGGAUAACGUCGGGAAACUGACGCUAAUACCGCAUACGCCCUUCGGGGGAAAGAUUUAUCGCUGAGAGAUUAGCCCGCGUCCGAUUAGCUAGUUGGUAAGGUAAUGGCUUACCAAGGCAACGAUCGGUAGCUGGUCUGAGAGGAUGAUCAGCCACACUGGGACUGAGACACGGCCCAGACUCCUACGGGAGGCAGCAGUGGGGAAUAUUGGACAAUGGGCGAAAGCCUGAUCCAGCCAUGCCGCGUGAGUGAUGAAGGCCUUAGGGUUGUAAAGCUCUUUCGACGGGGACGAUGAUGACGGUACCCGUAGAAGAAGCCCCGGCUAACUUCGUGCCAGCAGCCGCGGUAAUACGAAGGGGGCUAGCGUUGUUCGGAAUUACUGGGCGUAAAGCGCACGCAGGCGGUGAUCAUAGUCAGAAGUGAAAGCCCUGGGCUCAACCCGGGAAUUGCUUUUGAUACUGGGUCACUAGAAUCACGGAGAGGGUAGUGGAAUUCCGAGUGUAGAGGUGAAAUUCGUAGAUAUUCGGAAGAACACCAGUGGCGAAGGCGACUACCUGGCCGUCGAUUGACGCUCAUGUGCGAAAGCGUGGGGAGCAAAC
rnacentral:rRNA from 1 species